rnacentral:rRNA from 1 species
CGGUAGGUGAACCUGCGGAAGGAUCAUUGACGAGCCCCAAAAUGACCGUGAACUUGUUGUUUUCUAGCGAGAAGCAGCGAUGCUUCCAAAACCCCCCAAGGCGCCGGUCUUGCGCCAAGGAAAGAAAUGAUGGGGAGCGGAAAUCCUCCGUUCUCUGGUGGUGCGCGAUGAGCGCAUGUAAAAUAAGAGUAAAACGACUCUCGGCAACGGAUAUCUUGGUUCUCGCAUCGAUGAAGAACGUAGCGAAAUGCGAUACUUGGUGUGAAUUGCAGAAUCCCGUGAACCAUCAAGUCUUUGAACSCAAGUUGCGCCCGAGGCGAAUCCGCCAAGGGCACGUCUGCCUGGGCGUCACGCAUCGCGUCGCUCUCCCCCUUCACUCAYUCGACCGGUGAUUGCGUGGGGGGUGCGGAAGUUGGCCUCCCGUGCGCUCGUUCGCUCGGCCGGCCUAAAUGUGCCGCGUUCCUUUGCAUCGGACGCCACGAGCAAUGGUGGUUGCCUCUGUCGACUUCGCAUGCUGUGGCGCCGAACGUCCUUGGSAACGGGUGAUGAUCCCCUUGUGGCGAGGCGAGGCACUAGUGCCUUGGCAAGCCUCUCGACCGCGACCCCAGGUCAGGCGGGACUACCCGCUGAGUUUAA